UGUUAAGUUACUAAGGGUGUACGGUGGAUGCCUUGGCAUCAGAAGGCGAUGAAGGGCGUAGCAAGCUGCGAUAAGCCUCGGGAAGCCGCAAGCAGGCCGUGAUCCGGGGAUGCCCGAAUGGGGAAACCCAGGCGAUGAAUGCCGCCUAUCCGUCACUGAAUCCAUAGGUGACGUGAAGCCAACGCGGGGAAGUGAAACAUCUCAGUACCCGCAGGAAGAGAAAGCAAUUGCGAUUCCCUGAGUAGUGGCGAGCGAAACGGGAAUAGCCUAAACCUCAUGUAUGUCAAGCCUGUGCGCGUUGUACAUGAGGGGUUGUAGGCCUGCAUUGGACACCGGUACAGCGGUGUCAACGAGUGACAAACCAGCCUGUUAGCGGAAUGGCCUGGAAAGGCCAACCACAGAGGGUGACAGUCCCGUAUGCGAAAACAGGUUGGCUCGUUGGAUGCAGGUCCUGAGUACCACGGGGCUCGAGAAACCUUGUGGGAAUCCGGGAGGACCACCUUCCAAGGCUAAAUACUCUCUGAUGACCGAUAGUGAACCAGUACCGUGAGGGAAAGGCGAAAAGAACCCCGGUGAGGGGAGUGAAAUAGAACCUGAAACCGUAUACCUACAAGCAGCGAAAGGGCUAUGCCCCGCAAGGGGAAUGCCUGAUCGCGUGCCUUUUGCUUAAUGAGCCGGCGAGUUAUUCUGCGUAGCAAGGUUAAGUUGACAAGACGGAGCCGUAGCGAAAGCGAGUCCGAAUAGGGCGUCCAGUUGCGCGGAAUAGACCCGAAGCGAGGUGAUCUACCCAUGGCCAGGGUGAAUCCGUCGUAACAGAUGGAGGAGGCCCGAACCGUUGUUUGUUGCAAAAAGCUCGGAUGAGCUGUGGGUAGGAGUGAAAGGCUAAUCAAACCUCGUAAUAGCUGGUUCUCCCCGAAAUAGCUUUAGGGCUAGCCUUGGAGUAACCGUGGCGGAGGUAGAGCACUGGAUGGGCUAGGGGCGUUAUCGCGCUACCGAACUCAACCAAACUCCGAAUGCCGCUACUGGAUCUCCAGGAGUCAGACUACGGGCGCUAAGGUCCGUGGUCAAAAGGGAAACAGCCCAGACCGCCAGCUAAGGUCCCCAAUUGUAAGCUAAGUGGGAAAGGUUGUGGGUAUGCUCAGACAGCCAGGAGGUUGGCUUAGAAGCAGCCAUCCUUGAAAGAGUGCGUAAUAGCUCACUGGUCGAGUGCGCCUGCGCCGAAAAUGUAACGGGGCUCAAGCUUACAACCGAAGCUGCGGGCUUGUCCCUUACGGGAUGAGCGGUAGGGGAGCAUUCUCUGGGAGGCGAAGGUCGACCGACAAGGACGGCUGGAUCGCAGAGAAGAGAUUAUGCCGGCAUAAGUAGCGAUAAACGAUGUGAGAAUCAUCGUCCCCGUAAGCCUAAGGUUUCCUGGCCAAUGUUCGUCAGGUCAGGGUUAGUCGGUCCCUAAGGCGAGGCCGAAAGGCGUAGUCAAUGGGAAACAGGUCAACAUUCCUGUACCAUCAUGUUCGCGUUAUCAACGAAGGGGGGACGCAGAAGGGUAGGCACCGCCGGGUCCCUGGAAUACCCGGUCCAAGCGUGUAGGCGGGAUUCGCAGGCAAAUCCGCGAAUCCGUUAACGCCGAGGCGUGAUGGGGAGGCCGCAAGGCCACAAACGGGCUGAUCCCACACUGCCGAGAAAAGCCUCGUAGUGAGUGGGCAUGGUGACCGUACCGCAAACCGACACAGGUAGGCGAGUGGAAUACACUCAGGGGCGUGAGAGAACACUCCCUAAGGAACUCUGCAAACUAGCCCCGUAACUUCGGGAGAAGGGGUGCCUCGCGUACGUGAGAGGACUUGCUCCUUGAGCGGAACGAGGUCGCAGUGAAAUGGCUCUGGCGACUGUUUACCAAAAACACAGGACUCUGCUAACUCGUAAGAGGAUGUAUAGGGUCUGAUGCCUGCCCGGUGCUGGAAGGUUAACUGGAGAUGUCAGCCGCAAGGCGAAGCUUCGAAGGGAAGCCCCAGUAAACGGCGGCCGUAACUAUAACGGUCCUAAGGUAGCGAAAUUCCUUGUCGGGUAAGUUCCGACCUGCACGAAUGGCGUAACGA
rnacentral:rRNA from 1 species